rnacentral:tRNA from 1 species
AAGAAUUUAAGUUAUUCAAACUAUUAGCCUUCAAAGUUAAAAAUAGAUAAAUAUAUUCUAAUUCUUA